GGACAGUGAGAGAUUUUUACCUUGAAGUAACUUGUCCAUGGGGCCUUGUAAUUUCCUUCCUAGCUGGAGCUCUGCAGGGGACAUGCCAGUGCUUUCUUGAACAGCUAAGUUAAGGGCAAAACCAAGCUCAGUUCUUUGAAUAUGGAAGAGACAAACUGAGUCCCUCGGUCGGACAGGAUGAAGUCCGGUACUUCAUAUCGGGUGAGGAUUUCCAUUCGGAGAAUCGUUGCUAUGGUGCUCGCAAUUGCGGUGCGCAUUGGAAAGAGCUCAACCUAUCGAGAGAAAUAAUCCACAAAAACUAGAAGGCCAAAAAACAACAUGAUGUAAUCGUUUGUAGGUCUUGAAUAUGCCACCAUGACCGCUUAGCUGGUUGGAGUGGUAGUACUGAAAGACAGAUGGAAUGAGACUGCGAGGGAGGUACACUCUGUAGUGGACUUGGUCCUUUGUUAGCUAAGUCUUGUGAUAAAGUUUGUCUUCGAAUACCUCAUACUUGUCUUUCCACGUGCUGUUAUUUUGUGCCAAGGCUUUGAACAAUUUUACGAUUUCAGAAUCCUUAUGUUGCUCUUCCCAGAUGGUUGCAGCAGUAACUGGCAAUUCAUCAGUGUCCUUCUGGCUGGAGAAUAGGUUACAUCCUGGUAUGCUGGGAACUCUAGAAAGAGCAUCAGGUGCCACAUUAAGUUUCCCUUUCCUGUAUUCAAUGAUGAAACCGAACUUUUGCCAUCUUAAGGCCCAUCUGAUGAGGCGACUGGUGGACUUUGGGGAGCUCAUAACCAAUUGGAGAGCCAUGUGGUCUGUAACUACGGAGAACAUUCGAUACUCCAAGUAAUGCUGCCACUUUUCAAGUGCCCAUAUGACUGCAAGACACUCUUUCUCUGUUGCGGUGUAAUUUCUUUCAGCCUUAUUCAGUGCUCUACUUGCAUAAGCAAUAACUACUUCCAUUCCUUGGUCUUUCCUUUGUGUUAGCACAGCUCCAAGACCUGUGUCUAUAGCAUCAGUGUGCACCAUGAAAGGUAACUGGAGGUUUGGAUGGCUCAGGAUGGGAGGUGAAGUAAGUGCAUUUAUGGGUUCAGCAAUUUGAGAAAAAUUAGGAACAAAGCGGUGGUACCAACCGGCUAGUCCCAGGAAGCGCUGGACCUCUUUGAUGUCUCGUGGCACAGGGUUGAUAGUCAGUCCAGCCUCCUGUAGCUUAAGAAGGACUGAUCGGAGAUCGUUGAAGUGCUAAGCCACUGAUGGUGAAUAGAUGAUAAUAUCAUAAAUGUAGACAAAGCAUAUUUUUCCUCUCAAUUUUCCCAGUACAGUCUCUAUUAGCCUCUGGAAUGGGUCUGGGGCAUUUUUCAGACCGAAAGGCAUUACAUUAAAGUGGUAGAGUCCUGAAGGUGUGAUAAAUGCAGUUUUAUGCUUACUUUGGGGUUCCAUGGCUACCUGCCAGUAACCGCUAUUUAGGUCGAUGGUUGUGAAGAUUGCUGAACCUGAGAGUAUUUCGAGUAUCUCAGUUAUAUUUGGAAUUGGGUAAGCAUCGUUCUCAGUUACUGCAUUUAGUUUUCGGUAAUCAACACAAAAUCUAAGGCUGCCAUCUUUUUUAGGGACCAACACGACAGGCGAUGCCCAGCCAAAGUGUGAUGGUUCCACAAUUCCUGCUUCACCAUUUCUUCAAGCUGCUCUUUUACAACAAACUGCUUGGCAGGUGACAUGCGGUAAGGAUGCUGUUUGAUAGGGACCUGAUGGUUAGUAUAAAUACAGUGUUUCAGAACAUCAGUACGUCCAGGUUGUACAACAUACACUUGGGUAUUGGUU